rnacentral:rRNA from 1 species
GAUGAACGCUGGCGGCGUGCCUAAUACAUGCCAGUCGAGCGAACAGAUAAGGAGCUUGCUCCUUUGACGUUAGCGGCGGACGGGUGAGUAACACGUGGGUAACCUACCUAUAAGACUGGGAUAACUUCGGGAAACCGGAGCUAAUACCGGAUAAUAUCUCGAACCGCAUGGUUCGAUAGUGAAAGAUGGUUUUGCUAUCACUUAUAGAUGGACCCGCGCCGUAUUAGCUAGUUGGUAAGGUAACGGCUUACCAAGGCGACGAUACGUAGCCGACCUGAGAGGGUGAUCGGCCACACUGGAACUGAGACACGGUCCAGACUCCUACGGGAGGCAGCAGUAGGGAAUCUUCCGCAAUGGGCGAAAGCCUGACGGAGCAACGCCGCGUGAGUGAUGAAGGUCUUCGGAUCGUAAAACUCUGUUAUUAGGGAAGAACAUACGUGUAAGUAACUGUGCACGUCUUGACGGUACCUAAUCAGAAAGCCACGGCUAACUACGUG